GAUGCAGUCAUGGUGGAUGGGGCCCAAUGUGCUGGCUCCAAGGUCCAAGGACUCCAGAGCCAGCUUGCACAGAAUGUGAUCAUGCGAGCAGACUUUGCCCUGCCUGGCAGGCGCUGAGCCACUCCUUACAGCAUCCUGGACACAGUCCGCGCUGCACUGGAAGCUGAACGAGAACCCGAGACCAUGCAGAAGUGACUUUUAAAGGCCUUUCAGUGCUCGCUAAGCCACCGUUUCGGCAGGGGUGGCAAGCCUCAUUUUAAGCAAACACCCUUGUAAGAGGCCCGCGGUCCCUCCGCUGUGCGCUUGAGGGGCCACCUGGACCAGCAGGGGGACAGCUUUGAGUGACAGGGGCCUCCUCCAGGCAGCACCUGCAGAGCCCUGCUGACGCCCUCAGAUCCACAGGGUGACUUCUGAACAGCUGCGCCUGCGCCCGGCCUUCUCUCGCUCCACCUGAAUGACACUUGCUUUACUCUCACUCCGAUUCGUCCUGGACAUCUUUCCGGGAGGGUCAAGGUCCUGGAGGUCCCUGACUCCCGCGGAGGCUGGGCCAGCCCAGGUGCGGAAGCGGCCCAGUAACAGAAAUACUAUUUCCACAAGGUGUUCCCUUCACAGAAGGCAGCUGGAGCUCCAGCCUUAUGACCUUGGUCCAAGAUUUAUCUCGCCUGUGCCUCAGUUUCUCAUCUGUGACCACAGGGGUUACAGGCUGGGAGAAGAACAGGCAUUGUACUGAACACCCGCUGUUUCUCCCAGGCCUAGAAUCUUCAGGAAGGUCUACUGCUCAGACAGGCUUCCAGCUCCCACAGUUACUGGCCUUCCAGCUCACUUCAGGGGAGGGGUUGAAGGUGUGAACAAUGAAGCGCUUUCUUUCCUGAAAAUCAAAGCCACACGAUCACUCGGUGUUUAGUGAUGUGUCAUGUUUAUGGGGACCAUGCAAGUUACUCAAACAGGCGUCUUCCUCAUAGAGUGUCACUUUCUAAAUUCGAUUAAUUGAAUAAAAAUGUUCAUACGUGUAAAGGAACAAUCUAUUUUAAUGAACCAUUUUUGUAAAACAAGGAUUUGUAUUCUAUGAUCAUUCCAACUCAUACAUUUAAAAGAUAAUCUGCGUUUUCAUACACAA